UAAGGAAUAUUGCUCAAUGGGAGAAAUCCUGAAGCAGCAACGCCGCGUGGAGGAUGAAGGGUCUAUGACUUGUAAACUCCUGUAAAGAAGGAAAAAAUUCCCAUUAGAUGGGAGAUGAUGGUACUUCUGGAGUAAGCCCCGGCUAACUACGUGCCAGCAGCCGCGGUAAUACGUAGGGGGCAAGCGUUGUCCGGAUUUACUGGGUGUAAAGGGUGCUCAGGCGGAUUUGUAAGUCAGAGGUGAAAUCUUACAGCUUAACUGUGAAACUGCCUUUGAUACUGCAAGUCUAGACUAUGGAAGAGAGUGAUGGAAUAUCUGGUGUAGCAGUGAAAUGCGUAGAUAUCAGAUAGAACACCAAUGGCGAAGGCAGUCACUUGGUCCAUUACUGACGCUAAAGCACGAAAGCGUGGGUAGCAAACA
rnacentral:rRNA from 1 species